GAUGAACGCUGGCGGCGUGCCUAAGACAUGCAAGUCGUGCGGCAGCGGACCCUUCGGGGUGCCGGCGGGCGGCGGACGGCUGAGUAACGCGUGGGAAUUUGCCCCAAAGUGAGGGAUAACUGCCCGAAAGGGUGGCUAAUACCGCAUGUGAUCUUCGGAUUAAAGCUUCGGCGCUUCGGGAGAAGCCCGCGUCAGAUUAGGUAGUUGGUGAGGUAAAGGCUCACCAAGCCGAUGAUCUGUAGCUGGUUUGAGAGGAUGAUCAGCCAGACUGGAACUGAGAUACGGUCCAGACUCCUACGGGAGGCAGCAGUUAGGAAUAUUCCACAAUGGGGGCAACCCUGAUGGAGCAACGCCGCGUGGAGGAUGAAGGCCCUCGGGUCGUAAACUUCUUUUCUAUGCGAAGAAUAUGACGGUAACAUAGGAAUAAGGGUCUGCUAACUACGUGCCAGCAGCCGCGGUCAUACGUAGGACCCAAGCGUUAUCCGGAUUGACUGGGCGU
rnacentral:rRNA from 1 species